ACUUUCCAGAGAUGCUUUGGUGCCUUCGGGAACUCUGAGACAGGUGCUGCAUGGCUGUCGUCAGCUCGUGUUGUGAAAUGUUGGGUUAAGUCCCGCAACGAGCGCAACCCUUAUCCUUUGUUGCCAGCGGUCCGGCCGGGAACUCAAAGGAGACUGCCAGUGAUAAACUGGAGGAAGGUGGGGAUGACGUCAAGUCAUCAUGGCCCUUACGAGUAGGGCUACACACGUGCUACAAUGGCGCAUACAAAGAGAAGCGACCUCGCGAGAGCNAGCGGACCUCAUAAAGUGCGUCGUAGUCCGGAUUGGAGUCUGCAACUCGACUCCAUGAAGUCGGAAUCGCUAGUAAUCGUGGAUCAGAAUGCUACGGUGAAUACGUUCCCGGGCCUUGUACACACCG
rnacentral:rRNA from 2 species